AGUAAGGUAAGCUAAAAAAGCUUUUAGGCCCAUACCCUAAACAUGUUGGUUAAACCCCUUCUCUUGCUA
rnacentral:tRNA from 1 species